rnacentral:rRNA from 1 species
CUCGAUGAGUAGGGCGGGACACGUGGUAUCCUGUCUGAAUAUGGGGGGACCAUCCUCCAAGGCUAAAUACUCCUGACUGACCGAUAGUGAACCAGUACCGUGAGGGAAAGGCGAAAAGAACCCCGGCGAGGGGAGUGAAAAAGAACCUGAAACCGUGUACGUACAAGCAGUGGGAGCACCCUUUGGGGUGUGACUGCGUACCUUUUGUAUAAUGGGUCAGCGACUUAUAUUCUGUAGCAAGGUUAACCGUAUAGGGGAGCCGUAGGGAAACCGAGUCUUAACCGGGCGUUAAGUUGCAGGGUAUAGACCCGAAACCCGGUGAUCUAGCCAUGGGCAGGUUGAAGGUUGGGUAACACUAACUGGAGGACCGAACCGACUAAUGUUGAAAAAUUAGCGGAUGACCUGUGGCUGGGGGUGAAAGGCCAAUCAAACCGGGAGAUAGCUGGUUCUCCCCGAAAGCUAUUUAGGUAGCGCCUCGUGAAUUCAUCUCCGGGGGUAGAGCACUGUUUCGGCUAGGGGGCCAUCCCGGCUUACCAACCCGAUGCAAACUGCGAAUACCGGAGAAUGUUAUCACGGGAGACACACGGCGGGUGCUAACGUCCGUCGUGAAGAGGGAAACAACCCAGACCGCCAGCUAAGGUCCCAAAGUCAUGGUUAAGUGGGAAACGAUGUGGGAAGGCCCAGACAGCCAGGAUGUUGGCUUAGAAGCAGCCAUCAUUUAAAGAAAGCGUAAUAGCUCACUGGUCGAGUCGGCCUGCGCGGAAGAUGUAACGGGGCUAAACCAU